AGGAAGUUGGAGAGCCUUGAAGCACUGAAGAAAACCUUUAAGAAGUUGGACCAUGAUGUAAAUAUACAAGACUUUUUGGGUUCAAGGUUUGUGUUUAUUUUGAUGAAUCUUUUAAAUCUUAAGGGAUUAACCCUCAUGAAAGAACUAACGUUUUUUUUUUCCCCUCCUUUCGCAACACCCAAUGAAUUGAGGAAUUAUCCAACCAAUUGAGGAUGAUGUGAGCUCAACUUACAGAAGCACACAAGAGACUGAGUUGCAACUUUGAAGCUCAUAUUUGUUAAAUGUUGUGUUGAUGCUGGUUUAGGUGUUUGAGGUAAUGAAAAAGCAAGAGGAGACGAGGCUGACAGAAUUGACUACAAUAGGGGCAGAAUUUAAAGCUAUGCAAGCUGAAGCUGAAACUGUAUGAUUUCCAUUUCUUUAUCAAUUUUUUAUUGAAUUCUCUGCAUUUUGGUAAUUCAUAGUGCCUCGUGAGAAAUAAAAUGAAAAGGGAAGUAACUUGUUCUGCCUUAGUUUCAUGUAAUUGUGAAACUGAUAAGCCGACUCCUUUACAUUGGUUCUAUUGGGUCUAAAUUUAAUCCACGCACCAUACCAGCUUGGGUUACUAAGGGAUAUUCAGAGGAGAGGGGAUUGAUGAAUCAAUCCCAUUUGGCAAUCCUUAAAAGCAUAGACGUUACAAACAGAGUAGUAGCCAGAAUGGUUGGUUGCACCUCUGUAGCUCACCAAAUUAGGCUUUCCAACAGCUCAAACAUUACCCAAUUGACUAAAAACUAGCUCAGAGGAAGCAAACUUAGCUAUCACUCUCAGGAGCUCUAGAGUCCACAAGGCAAAGAUAUUUUUGAUGAGUUAAAAAAAUGGUCUUUUUCUAUUUCUUUGGUUCUUCUCAAUAUAUGGAAAUUUGUUUUUUGAACCACAUGCAAAUUAAGGCUGGUAACCACAGAUGUGAGUAAAAUUAUUUUGAUAUGUAACAAUGAAUUACCUUUUGCCUAAAGGCGGUUCUGAAAAAAAAAAUUAUUAUGUUGGGAUGUUGGAAUAUACUUCAAAGUCAAAGGGAAAUUAGCAUUACUUGAAAAAAAAAACUUGUGGUAUGCAUUUUUGGAUAGGGAACUUUAUGAUUAUGAUUUCUAAUGAGUUAUUUUUCUCUACUGAAUCAUUUUUCUAUUUUGGAAUGAUUGUUGUAUUCAUAGGUGUAUUAAGUAGGAUUCUCAUGAAAAACUAAAGUAAUAAAAAAGACAAAUAAUUGUUUAGAAUGCCUAAAUUCACCUUAAUUUUUAUUUUAUUUAAUAAGUUCUUGUGGGAGUAGAAAUGUAGUUGUGGGCUACUUAAUACAAAGUUUAUAAUGUCCUCUAUCCAUCUAAGCUUUAACUCAACACAAGGAGUUCAAAGUGGAAAAUUAUGAAGCAUGUUAAAAUAACAAUAUCUUAAACCUUGAAUCAAAUAUAACAAGCAUCCUAGUAGUAUUAUCCUGCCAAGAUCCUCUCGUACAUAUUAUUUAUAUACAUGCUAAGUAUAUAUGUACAUAUGUAAUAGAUGGUAGUCUGCAAAUGUUAUCUGAUAUUAAGGGUCCUCUAAUUGUUUGAAAAAAUGCCUGAUUAAAAAAAAAAAAAACUGUGUUUGCUUAUCCAUGAUGACUGAACAAUCACAAGUGGAAUGAUAAUUGAGUUGAUUUUGGAACCAAUGUCCUUUAUACAAACUGUUAUGCAUAUUCUUUCCUUUUUUCUACAGCAUUUGCUUGGAUGUGUGUUGGAGGAGCCAUUUAUCAAAAUACUUGACAUUUAUGUUUUCCUCAUAAACUUCAAGUUUAUGUUGAGAAAACUACAAGGGCAUUUUCAAAUAUUUUAACUACCUAAAUUUCAACUUUAUGUUGAGAACUUAGAUGUUGAGAAAACUGCAAGGGCAUUUACAAAUAUUUUAACUACCAAAAUUUCAACUUUAUGUUGAGAAUUUAGAUAUUGCACUUUGUGUGUUUUGAAUGGAUGUAUAAAUUUUGGGCACUGCUGAGCUAGAUGAGUUUUUUUUUUUAUUUAUUUUUACCUCCUAAUUUUCUGUAGUUAUAUACUUCUCUAAA